UACGGAGGGUGCAAGCAUUAAUCGGAUUUACUGGGCGUAAAGGGCGCGUAGGCGGAUCUACAAGUCAAAUGUGAAAUUCCGGAGCUCAACUUCGGAGCGGCAUUUGAAACUGUAGGUCUAUAGAGGGAUGGCGGAGAAAAUGGAAUUCCACAUGUAGCGGUGAAAUGCGUAGAUAAUGUGGAAGAACACCGGUGGCGAAAGCGGUUUUCUAGCUAUUACCUGACGCUGAGGCGCGAGAGCAUGGGGAGCAAACAGG
rnacentral:rRNA from 1 species